AUUUGACUCAACGCGGGAAAUCUUACCAGGUCCAGACAUAUGGAGGAUUGACAGACAGUUAACCAAAACGCAGCAGCUAGUUUAACAAAACUAACAGCUCUUUCAAGAUUAUGUGGUAGGUGGUGCAUGGCCGUUCUUAGUUCGUGAAGUGAUUCGUUCGCCCAAUCGCAUUUCCAAACAACAACAACUCAGAAUGCUGGGCAAUAGGACGUUUAAAGUGGCUCCUUACACCUUACAAAGGAAUGGCUGAUGAGAAACAACUCGAUCCGCUCAGCGUUCUAUUGGAAUGCAACGGACGUGAUUGCAAGCUUUUGUUUUGAGUUGCGGUUUUACUGAAAGACUCUACAAUCCGCAAACUUCAAUGAUCUGAAGUAGAAAACCUAC
rnacentral:rRNA from 1 species